AGUGAACGCUGGCGGUAGGCCUAACACAUGCAAGUCGAACGGCAGCACAGUAAGAGCUUGCUCUUACGGGUGGCGAGUGGCGGACGGGUGAGGAAUACAUCGGAAUCUACUUUUUCGUGGGGGAUAACGUAGGGAAACUUACGCUAAUACCGCAUACGACCUACGGGUGGAAGCAGUGGAUCUUCGGACCUUGCGCGAUUGCAUGAGCCGAUGUCGGCUUAGCUAGUUGGCGGGGUAAAGGCCCACCAAGGCGGCGAUCCGUAGCUGGUCUGAGAGGAUGAUCAGCCACACUGGAACUGCGACACGGUCCAGACUCCUACGGGAGGCAGCAGUGUGGAAUGUUGGACAAUGGGCGCAAGCCUGAUCCAGCCCUACCGCGUGGGUGAAGAAGGCCUUCGGGUUGUAAAGCCCUGUUGUUGGUAAAGAAAAGCAGCAGGUUAAUACCCCGCUGUUCUGACGGUACCGAAAGAAUAAGCACCGGCUAACUUCGUG
rnacentral:rRNA from 1 species